rfam:Triticum urartu cultivar G1812 contig259058, whole genome shotgun sequence.
AAAGUACUCCCUCUGUCCGGAAUUAUUUGUUGCGGAAAUGAAUAAAAAUGAAUGUAUCUAGAGCUAAAAUAUGUCUAGAUACAUCGAUUUCUACAACAAGUAUUUCCGAACGGAGGGAGCACAUA